rnacentral:tRNA from 1 species
GGCGGAGUAGCUCAGUUGGUGAGAGCGUCGGAUUCAUAACCCGAAGGUCGGCGGUUCAAAUCCGCCCUUCGCUACCA